CUGUCGCUGACUUUUAAUGCAAAAGUCGUGCACGCCGGAGCGUGUCCUCUCACAUAAAAUCCAUCUCACCCUUUUGUGCAUCACCGCGCGGGCACCCUUCGGGAUCAAACCGAUCCAGGAGGGGGCUUGCGUUUUCACACAAACCCCCUUUUAAAAGUGUAGAAUGUCCCCAGUUUUGCGAUGACACGCAAUCAAUACAACUUUCAACAACGGAUCUCUUGGCUCUCGCAUCGAUGAAGAACGCAGCGAAAUGCGAUACGUAAUGUGAAUUGCAGAAUUCAGUGAAUCAUCGAAUCUUUGAACGCACCUUGCGCCCCUUGGUAUUCCGAGGGGCACACCCGUUUGAGUGUCGUGAAAAUCUCAACCUUCUCGGUUUCUUCUGGACACCGGAGGAGGCUUGGACUUUGGAGGCCUUUGCUGGCUCUUUUUGAGAGCCAGCUCCUCUUAAAUGAAUUAGCGGGGUCCUCUUUGCCGAUCCUUGACGUGUGAUAAGAUGUUUCCAUGUCUUGGUUUCUGGCUCUGUUGCCUUUGGGACCCGCUUCUAACCGUCUCAACCUUGCGUCGAGACAACGUUUGAGCGUGUCUCCCUUCUCGGGAAACCCUCUCAACCUCAUGAACCCUUGACCUCAAAUCGGGUGAGACUACCCGCUGAACUUAAGCAUAUCAAUAAGCGGAGGAAAAGAAACUAACAAGGAU
rnacentral:rRNA from 1 species